GCCUCUGUGGUCUAGUGGUAUGACGUGUCCUUCACAAGAUGAGUACGGACAAGGUCCCGGGUUCGAUACCCGGCGGGGGUA